rnacentral:rRNA from 1 species
CCUACGGGGGGCAGCAGUGGGGAAUAUUGGACAAUGGGGGCAACCCUGAUCCAGCCAUGCCGCGUGUGUGAAGAAGGCCCUCGGGUUGUAAAGCACUUUCAGUGAGGAAGAACGCCUGGUGGUUAAUACCCAUCAGGAAAGACAUCACUCACAGAAGAAGCACCGGCUAACUCCGUGCCAGCAGCCGCGGUAAUACGGAGGGUGCGAGCGUUAAUCGGAAUUACUGGGCGUAAAGCGCGCGUAGGUGGCUUGAUAAGCCGGUUGUGAAAGCCCCGGGCUCAACCUGGGAACGGCAUCCGGAACUGUCAAGCUAGAGUGCAGGAGAGGAAGGUAGAAUUCCCGGUGUAGCGGUGAAAUGCGUAGAGAUCGGGAGGAAUGCCAGUGGCGAAGGCGGCCUUCUGGACUGACACUGACACUGAGGUGCGAAAGCGUGGGUAGCAAACAGGAUUAGAUACCCUUGUAGUC